GUCCCUGAAAUCGCACUGCUCAUAAAGUUAUUGCACUGCCCAUAAAGUUAAUUGACCACAGAGAGAGAUUCUCAUCCAACACUGCACUCUUUUGAUCCAAAGAAGCGUACAGCUUCAAACUUCAUGUGAACAAACCUACUUAGGUUUUCAUUGGCUAAUGAGAACACCAUGCACAGAAAAGCCGGAUCCAUGGCGAACCCGAUUGAGUUUUCACUAUGCUCUUCAGGAAUUUUAGCGCAUUUGUUGGGGAUUGUUGCGUUCAAUUUUGAGCUCAUUUGGUCAUCUGUCAUUGUUGACGGGACGAAGUUUGUAUCUCCGCAUGUAUUUCUGAGGCAAAAAGAAGCUAAGCAGAAUGCAGCAAAACUCGCUCUCGAUGGCGUUUUAAGUAAGAUGAAGCUGGAUGGAAUCUCACUGAUUCCCAACGAUACUACAUUUUGCAAGACUAUCCUCCAUGAGUACGCAGCCAAGAUGAAUUUAGAGCUGCCUAGAUAUACAACCUCCAAAUCAGGGGCACAUUUUUCAACAUUUAUUACUUCUGUGUUCUUUGACGGAAAAACUUAUAAAGGUGUUCCAGCUAGGAGCAAAAGAGACGCUGAGCAGCUUGGAGCUCGCACUGUUGUUGACUGGAUAUUAGGUAAAUCUGACAGGAGCAUUGUUAUGGCUGAGAUUAUCAAGUCAAAGGGCAAAUUCUUUGAUGCAUUUAGUAGUGGCAAUGGUUCAUUUGUGCCACAUGACGAUGUUAUGCCCUUGAAAAUGACUCUUGAUUAUCAACAUGGUUCUAUUGCUGCCUCUGAAAAAGACAUGCAUUCUGGUUCAACUGCACCACAAAACAAUAUUGUUCUCUUAAAUGCAUCUUUUGCUAAUCAUCCUGGUUAUAGAAAUAGCAAGGAAAACAACAUGCAUGUUUUAUCAAGAAGUAGUAACCUACCAGUUCAUGCAGCAGUUCACCCGACACUACCAGCUAUGGUAGAAAAUGCCAAAGGAAAAAUUCGACAAUGGAAAAACCAACUUCAAGGCUCAACAAAUGGACAUCUCUACUAUGUCAUCAGUGAAUUUUGCCCUCCACAGGUAAUUGUAGUUAAAAUCACAGACCUAUCAGAUGAUCCAGCAAUAGUUCCAGGAACCAAAAUCCCAACAACAGCGGAAAGCGCUUCAGCAAGAACAAAAAGGGUGGCGCUUUCAAGAAAAAACUUUCACAAGCUUAUUUUCUCUCUGCUCCAGGGUAAUAUAUUUUGCAAAUCUAUCCUCCAUGAGUAUGCAGCUAAGAUGAGAAUGGGGCUGUCAACAUAUACAACUUCCCAGUUAGCGGGACUGUUUCCGACAUUUAUUUCUUCUGUUGUCUUUGACAGAAAAAUGUAUGUAGGUGGUCCUGGAAAGAGCAAACAAGAGGCUAAACAGUUUGGAGCUCGCACUGUUAUUGACCGUAAAUUGGGUGAAUCUGAUAUGAGCACUGUUAUGACUGAGGUUAUUAAGUCAAAGGGCAUACUAGUUGAUGCAUUUAACAGGGGUAGUGGUUCAAUUGUGUCGCAGGACGAUAAUAUGCCCUUGAAACUAACUCUUGAUAAUCACUCUGGUUAUACUACUCCGUUUGAAAAUGACAUGCAUGUUUUACCAACAAAUGGCAAUCUCCCAGUUCCUGCAGUAGAUCACUCUAUACUACCAACUAUAGAAAACCCCAAUGGAAAAACUGUCAAAAAGAACAGUCAACCCGAGGGCUCAACAAGUGGACAUCUCGGCCCUGUCUCCAAUAAUUCUUUCCCUGCAUAGGUAAUUGAAGUUGAAACAGAGGUUGUGUCAGAUGAUCACAACAUGCAUGUUUUAUCAAGAAGUAGUAACGUACCAGCAGUUCUCCCGACACUACCAGCUAUGGUAGAAAAUGUCAAAGAAAACAAUGGAACAACUAACCUCAAGCCUCAACAAAUGGACAUCUCUACUUUGUCAUCAGUGAAUCUUGCCCUCGACAGGCUUUCACAAGCUCAUUUUCUCUCUGGAUAAUAUAUUUUACAAAUCUAUCCUCCAUGAGUAUGCAGCUAAGAUGAGAAUAGCUAAGAUGAGAAUGGGGCUGCCAACAUAUACAACUUCCCAGUUAGCGGGACUGUUUCCGACAUUUAUUUCUUCUGUUGUCUUUGAUGGAAAAAUGUAUGUAGGUGGUCCUGGAAGGAGCAAACAAGAGGCUGAACAGUUUGGAGCUCGCACUGUUAUUGACCGUAUAUUGGGUGAAUCUGAUAUGAGCACUGUUAUGACUGAGGUUAUUAAGUCAAAGGACAUACUAGUUGAUGCAUUUAAUAGGGGUAGUGGUUCAAUUGUGCCGCAGGACGAUAAGCCCUUGAAACUAGUUCUUGAUAAUCACGAUGGUUAUACUGCUCCUUUGAAAAUGGCAUGCAUGUUUUACCAACAAAUGGCAAUCUCCCAGUUUCUGCAGCAGAUCGCUCUAUACUACCUACUAUACAAAACCCCAAAGGAAAAACUGUGAAGAAGAACUGUCAACCCAAGGGCUCAACAAGUGGACAUCUCGGCCCUGUCUCCAAUAAUUAUUCCCCUGCACAGGUAAUUGAAGUUGAAACAGAGGUUGUGUCAGAUGAUCAAGCAAGGCUGGCAAGGCUGUCAGGUCACAUACAGAUCCCAGGUCCCAGCAACAGCAAGAAACGCUCCCGCAAGUACAAAAAAUGCGGUGUUUCUGAGACAAUCCGAACCCUUCCUCAAGAGAACAAACAGGACAGUGGUUCCAAUAAAAUGCUAUAGGACAAAUGAUUCAGUUUUGGAAUGCCAAGGAAAGCUUUUAAGCUCUGCUUCAGCUUUUUCAUCUCAGGUACAUUGUUCCGUUGACUGGAGUCUCUCUUCACUGGAUGAGCUUGUUUUCUUUGAAUCUUGCUAAAUCUUUGCUUGUUAUUUGGACUAUGGAAUUCUUUUAUAGUCAUCCUACAUUUACACUGAUAUGUCCAUUAUACCUCUAUGUUCCUCUUGUUUCGUUACUUUGGGUUGAGUUCAAUCUCUUUGUUGUCUUUCUCGACAUCAUUUAAUUCAUGUAACUUGAAGAUGCACGUAGCAUCCCCAACCAUUUACUUUGUGAAACAUGAAUUCUUUAUAUGUAUGUUAAAAUAAUUGUGAAUGCUAAGUUUUUAGGAUGCAAGGAUUA